GGUCAAGCGAAUAAGCGCACAUGGUGGAUGCCUUGGCGGUCAGAGGCGAUGAAGGACGUGGUAGCCUGCGAAAAGUGUCGGGGAGCUGGCAACAAGCUUUGAUCCGGCAAUAUCCGAAUGGGGGAACCCACUGUUUAGGCAGUAUCUUUGAGUAAAUUCAUAGCUCAAGGAGGCGAACCUGGUGAACUGAAAUAUCUAAGUAACCAGAGGAAAAGAAAUCAACAGAGAUUCCCUGAGUAGUGACGAGCGAACGGGGAUUAGCCCUUAAGCUAGUAUGGUUUUAGGAAAGCAAUCUGGGAAGGUUGGCCAUAGAAGGUGAUAGCCCUGUAUCCGAAAGGGCCGUACUAGUGAAGAUGAGUAGGACGGGGCACGUGAAACCUUGUCUGAAUAUGGGGGGUCCAUCCUCCAAGGCUAAAUACUCCUGACCGACC
rnacentral:rRNA from 1 species